GGUCGGCGACUAGUCUUGCGGCGGAGCCACCGCGGGGACCUCGCCCGCGGCGGAAUCUCAGAUGAUGCCUCAAAUCCCGGCCGCCGGCUGCAGGAUCGCCAUAUAAUAGCCUGAGUUGCCUUCUCGUCCCGCGAUCGCCCAGCCGACACGAUGGUGAGCCUGAUCCCUGAGCAAAAACUGUAGUAAAGAAGCAAUGGUCCACGAGGAAGUAAUGUAGAAGAGGAGCAUUGACUUCAGAAAGAAGGUGCAAAACUCCAAAGGCCUUUAUUUGGCACAACUGGGAUAACCAAGAACUUGAUUUUCAGCGCCUCCUGGCAGCAGUCUCUCUCUGACAAUUGAAGUAAACAGCAGCCACAGGGAGGCCAAGAUCAUUAUCCACAGCAAACUGGCGGGUGUUGAAAUGAUCCCUGAAGGAAGGCACAGAUACAGUCUGCCUUCGCUUCUGCUUGAAGAGCACAAAAAUGAACCUGUGGAUUCCAAUGUUGGGCUUUGGGCUCUCAUAGCUUAUGACCUCCCCCCCUGCAAUUCAAAAGGAGAAUGAUUAUUCAUUCAAAAUGCAGAACAUAGAAUAUACCAAUUCAAAUCUCAGAGAAGGACCUACCAAAUGAAGCAUCUGUUGUCCCGGGUAUAUUACUGACAAUCCUGUGUAAGUGCAAAAGGUAUUGGUAAAUGACUCUCAUUGGAAGUGCUGGUAAAAUAGUCUCUGUGUCUAUAUGUGCAAGAAGAAGAUGUACUGAUAUCUUCCUUAGUAACAUAUACUAAUAUAUUUAGGUGCUUAGUAGCCACCCAGCAGAAAAAACUGUGCAUGAGAAAGGUUACCAGUGAAGAUGCUCCCGUAGAUAUGGAUCACUUGGUCCUGGCACAUCUGGGUCCGUCAUAACCUGAAAUAUGAAUAAUUAUGGUCACUGCAAAAGAGAAAACAAGCAUUCAAUACUUGAAGUUGAAUAUGGAGUUCCAAGAGUCGAGUGCAUUCUACCAAUGUGAAUAAGGAUCUCAAGUCACCCCCCUGAACCUCUACUCUUGGUUUAGAUACAACUGCUGAUGGGUAGAGCUCAUGGCCAUUGAAGACCAGCUUGUUUGAGUUAUAGGUUGCCACCAUCUUCACACAUGGGUUAAAUGGAUCGAGAACUUCUCCAAUGACACGCCCAACAAUAAGAGGCUCCACAGACCUAGACAUGGUUGGAGAGGCAAGUAUUUCUAUAUUGCACGGUGAAUGCUCUAUCUGGUUGUAGCAAAGCUUUGAAGUGGCUUGGGCUGCUUACUGGGCAUUGCUAGAGUACGACGAGCCUCUACUUAUAGAGGCAAGAAGCCUGCUUCGAGUGUAAGCUCAAAAGAGAAUGUGAAACAUGAGUAGUAUGUGUGUUCUUUUUUGGUUGGGUAUGCGUGGAAAGAACCGAAAAGGCCACAGAAAGGAUCUAACCACUUUUUCCGAGACAGCCAACCAAGGGUCUUGUUUCUUUUCUAUCAGUUGCACAGUGUUGGAGUUUGGAGUAAUACUUCAUGCAUCUUCUUCCAAGUUCUAGGGACAAAGACUUUUUUCACCACAAACAUGAGAUACUAACUACAAUAAUAAAAUUUGCACAAUUGUUUGAUUUUGAUUUUUAGUAUAUCUCUAUUCUGUUUUUAUUUUAGUUAUUGAUAGUUAAAAAAUACUGAUUUUUUUUACUUGAUUAAAUGGAAACCUUUUCAAGUUGAUGGUUUCCCACCUUAUAGUCCUCAAAAAAGGUAUUGUAGAUCACUACCUACAUGUUAUUUCUUUAGGAAACAUAGCACACCUUCAUGCAAGUGGGUCUCUGAAGAUUAUGUUGCUGAACUAUCUUAAUAUUGGUUAGGACAAACGACAAAGUGCUGGUACUCCUAUCCUAGUUUAUGCAUGACAAUGUGCGGAUUUUGAUGCUUAGUUUUGCAAAUUAUCAUGCUGUUGUGUAUAAUUAUUUCUGUAUUCUACCAGAAGGAAAUCGGAUGAGGAGUCCGAAAUUACAGAACAAUGCAUUUUCAUGCUAAAAUACUUCAGUUCUAAAAAGAUCUAGAUGUAAUUGUUCGCAGCAAGUUAGGAAGUAUGCCCUUGUGGAGCAAAUGAAAAAGAAAGGGAAUAAAACACUUUGGAGUGAUGCUUUCCUAAACUAUCAAUUCGUUUUUGCAUACUUUAUUUGAUGUUUGCUUGCAGAAAUUUAAGGUCUGGCUUUCUGAUAUUCUUAUCCUCUUGUUUUGUAACUAUUAUUUAUGUGUUAUCUAGUGGACAGAAACAUGCGGCACUGUCCACGUGGAAGCCUCUUCACCCUCGAAUGUUCGUCUUUAUAGCGUUGUUGGUUUAGUGUAUGGAUGCAUUUGAAAAGGACAGCAGCACCAGCACCAGCAGCUUGGACAAGUUGCGAUUGAAGCUUUGUGGAGUCCAAGUCGGUGAAGAGAAUAUAGUCUCAGAGAUGGUGAUGUUUUCUGUUUGCUGUCAUAACCGUUACCCGACACCUUUGGAUCGCUUCAGCGAAAAGGAGCCGCCCACCAAUCUUGAGUCCCUCAAGUUGGAGAGUGGUAAGUAACACAUGAAUGCACAUUGGUGGGAAGAUCAUUGUGGGCCAAUUGUUGAGGAGGCAAUGAGAUACUCCGAUGAUGACAGUGAGACUACAGCGGGUGGAUAUGAUGUUCCACAGAAUCUCCAUGGGUGUCUGUGUCACCUGCUGAUUGAGUACGAGUCAGCACCCCAGCACACAAGAUGUCACUACCGCCUGGGUUGACAACAGCCUGUGGAUUGUGUUUUGUUCAUGGAUGAGGUGGUCAAUAGCCAAAAGUCAUGAAAAUGUAAUUUUUUGCCGCACUUGACGGCAAACCAAUGGUUAAUUGCAAUGCUAAUGUAUACUCUUCUAAGUAAUCUUCAAAUGUCAACCUGCAAUUGCCGACACAACGAGAGGCUCUUCACCCAGGUUCAGAACAUAUAUAUGUCCAUCUUUCUUCAGAUAA